AAGAGCCGUAUACGAGGCCCGUACGUACGGUUCUGUGAGGGGGCUAACGCCGUAGUAAAUUACUACGACGUUACUCUACUCGAU
rnacentral:ncRNA from 2 species